AAUAUUUCACUUUAAUAUUUAUUCAACUUGUCUUAUUUUCUCUUAGAUUUCAAUUAAUAUUACUCAAUUUAUUUUUCAUGGACAAGUAUUCUUCUAAGGCUAUCCACCGGUAAUAGAUUUGCAUUAUCCGAAUCAGUAGUUUGGAGUUACCUUUUAGAGAAACUGGUGGAGUAAAGAAUUUAAAUGAGAAGAGAGAAGAAAAAACUCAGUAAGACCACUAAUGACCAAUUUCAUUCAACUCAAAACAAAAGCUGCUAACAACUAAUUACAAUGGACAGGUUCCCCCAAGCAAUAAGCUGGAAAAUUCUGAAUAACAAAAUACAAAUCCCAUCACAGACCUAUCCCUUUAUUUAUGUUAAGGCCCUCGCAUGUUACUCAUGCAAUUCCGUAACUGUUUCUCCUCCACAUCAGCCUUAUUCUAAUUCUUGUGCCUUCUAGAAUAUACCCUCCUCAUUCUCUUAUUGAACUCUGCAUUUGAAGUUUGGUCCAGUGUUUUAUCAUUGCCAGCUGCUGAAGAAACAACCUUGUCCUCAAGGUUGUAAUUAGGAAAUUGCCCCACAUAUUCAUCAAGGUCAAUCUAGGUAGCUUCCUUGUUUGGACGCCCUGCCAAUUUAACCAACAAACAUUCAAUAGAGCUGCCAUUCCGUGUAUCAGCUUGUUGGGAAAAAAUGGCUUGAGGGGAAAAUGGAGGUGCUUGCUUAGAAGCAACAUAAUGGGGAAUGAAAAUUGUAGAUGGUGGAGGAACAAAUUUUUUAACUGUCAAGCAUGAAAAACAGGAUGUAGUUUGGAAGUAGGUGGUAAUUGCAAUUUAUAAGCACCAUACCCGAUAUGUUGGAGAAGAGUGAAGGGGCCAAAGAACCUUAGGGAUUAUUUGUAGUCCCCCGCCUUACCAUUCCGCCAUGCCACCAAGGCAACACAAAAUAGAUAAAAAUAUCCCCCCUCUUUUUUUUUUUGCUUUUUAAGGACAAAUUGGAACCAUUAAUAAUUUAUGAGUAGUGCGUGAGGCCACUGAAUGUUGCCAUUACAAUUCAGGGAUACCAAAGCAAAUUCACCCUCUUGAAAUUGGAUAUCUCGUUUGUGAUGGUUGGCAUGUUUAUUGUUUAACCAUCUAUGCUUGAGCCUUAAUCAGGUUGUCCUUUAAUUGACGUAGAAUGGCAUCUCUCUUAGUUAGUGCUUGAGAGAUAGUUUGAACUUUGUUUCACUAGGCAUAAAUUGGAUGAUAGAAGGGGCCAGUCGACCAUAGACUAUAUGGAAUAGUGUCAUUUUUGCAGCAUAUUGAAAAGUAGUAUUAUACCAACACUCUGGCUAAUGAAGGCAAUGGAGCCAUUGUUUAGGUUGAUCAGCAACAAAGCAUCUCAAGUAUUGCUCCAAGUAGCAAUUUAGAACUUUUGUCUAAUCAUCGGUUUGAGGAUGGUAGGAGGAACUAAACUUGAGUGAAGUAUGCAUAGCAUGAAAAAUCUCCAACUAGAAAUUACUAAGAAACAAUAGGUCUCGAUCGCUGACAUAGACUUAGGGAUGCCAUGUAAUUUAAUUACUGAUUGGCAAAUAUAUUCGCUGCAUCCUUGGUAGUGAAUGUAUGUUUUAAAGGAAUGAAGUUCCUAUAUUUAGAUAAUCUAUCAAUGACUACACAGAUGCAAUCAUACCAUUGUGAUUUAGGCAAACCAGCUAUAAAAUCAAUGGAUGUGACCUCCCAAAUUUGUUGAGGCACAAGCGGUGGUUGUAGAAGCCCCACAAGUGAAAGUUCUUCGCAUUUAUCUUUUUAACAAGGAAUGCACUUAGCUACAAAUUUAUUGGCUAAAGUCAUUAUGCCCGCCAAUAAAGAGAUGAGGCUAUGCGAUGAUAAGUUCAAAAGGCACUUGAAUGACCCCUUGCUAGAGUAGCAUGAAGUUCAUGUAAUAACAUUUGAAUCCAAGGAGAAUUAGAGGGAAUGACUAGUCGACCUCCAAGGAAUACGACGGUGGAGAAGUAGCCCGUUAAAGUUGGGCCACAAUAGCUAUGAGAGUAGAAACUUGUUGAAUUGCAGUAGAUAAAGAGUCUAAAUCAAACCAAAAAGAUCGAGUUAUGGCAGCUAGUUUUAAGGAAGUGUCUUCCUCCCAUUGUAAUAGUGCAUCUGCUGUGUUGUUGGCUUUACCUGGCUUGUAUUCAAUUAUAGCCCAAAAUUUUAGAAACUUAGCAUUAUUGUGUUGGUUGGAUGAUAUGCUGCUCCAAGAGAUGUCUCAAGCUUCUAUGAUUAGUUCAAACAGUAAAUUUAUGCCCCCAUAAGGUAUGGCCUGCAGUGCUGUAUGGUGAGUAUGAAUGCCAUUAAUUCUUUCUCAUAUGUAGAACAAACAAGGUGUGAUCAAAUGAGGCUUUACUGAAGUAAGCCAAUGGUUUAUCAUCUUGAGUGAGAAUAGCACCCACACCUCAAUUGGAAGCAUCAGAUCCAAUGAUAUAUUUACAACAUCCCGAAAAAUUAGCGCAAUAGCUGUUGCCCAGUCAAACAACAAAACUAGAAGUAGAAUUAACAGGUAGAGAUAACCAAGAGACCUAUGUCUGAGAUAUAAAAUAGUGGCUGGCUCCAUUGUCAACCAUAAGCAAAAUAGGCUGGCGUGGAUUGUACCUUGUAGCUUAAGCGUGCAUGGUGAGAAAUGCCCCCAACUGAAUAGAAAGGUACUUCAAGGGAUUAACACAACUUGAAACAAGAAAUAGAAAAUGAGAUUGAUAGAAACUGUAAGGAGAAGUUCCCUUGAAAGAGUAGAGAACAGGACUGUAUUGAUUAAAGAGAGAAUAUCCACAGCAAAAGAGAUUACAAUCAGUCUACUUCUUGAUUGCCAACAACACAAAUUCGGGAAUUUGAAUAGCAAGUAAAGAAAAAGAUAAGAAGACAAAUACUAAGAUCAAAGAAUAAAUGGAAAUAAGGUUCCAACCAACCCUCGGGAGGUCCUUCCGUGCAGAGUGUCUUUUUGCUCAAAAAAAGGUUUUCCGUAAUUUUUCAAAGAUGCCCCCUACUCCUACUUUCUGUCCUUUAAUAUUAGAGAAGAUUCUCUUUUGGUAACAACCAUGCUAUAUGUGUCCUCCCCUCCAACUAUUGCUGCAGCACUAUUCCCCAAGCAUUUGAGAUUCCCUUCCCCCUAUUCUCCCCUUUCUUCAUUUGAGAAUAAACUUUUAAAGGCUGAGGCGUCCUACUAGCUCUCCCAACAUUUUUAAUGCUACUUGAAGACAAUAAGGUGUAGAAGGGUUUGGAAUGGAUGGUUUAGAAACUGUUUUACUUUCGGGAAAGGUAAGCUAAAAUAGCCUGUAGGUGGAGAAAAUUUAGGAUAUAGUAGUAGUGGUGGGCAAUGCCCAUUAGAUAGGGCCUUUAGAAUAGUCUUUGGUAGCGGAAAGUUUAAGGAGACUCGCAUAAACCAACUCCUGUUUAAUUUCUCUGGCCAAGAGCAUGAUGCAAUGAAUUAAGUGGAUUCGUGGUGAUGAACACACACCCAAAUCUCCUCCAGAUGACCAUUCAAGAAGUAACCUAGAUAUUGCUACUCUGAAUGAGAUGGAACUUGCGCAGCUGCAGAAACAAAAAGAUCAAUAAACUCAUUUGAUUGCAGCUAGGCAUUUAGAAGGAUAGAUUAUUGCAUCACCGUCAUCGAACGACAAGCUCUUUAGAAAAUUGUUCCCAAGUAAUAUUUGGGUUACGACUUAUGAAAGCAAAUGUAGUGGAGCCAAUGAAAAGUACCAAGUAUCACCUUCCAUAUAUGCUAAGGCCUACGAGGCUUUCAUUUUUUGUUGAGUCUAGUGAAUUUCAAAAUACUGAUUGGCUCUUAGCUUAAAGCAUAAUUUCCUUCAAAAGUGGGUAGCUCAACUUGUUUAAUAGAGAGAGGAAAUAUUGGAUUAUUAUGGUUGGGGUGUUAGGAUUUGGAGUGGAAGAAGGAGAUGGGUUAAUGUUAUGUGCCUUUAAAUAGGAUCUCGUAUUAACUGGAAAAUCCUUCUCUCGCCAGACUGAUUUUUUCUUGGUAAUGUUUUUGCUUUUCUUUGAGGAAUCUAUUAUAAAAUAAAUUGAAAACUCGUUUGAGAGAAUUCUCGGAUCUCAUAAACUGAUGAAUAAUAUUUUCUGAAUGUCUUAUUCAAUGAUCUCAAGUGCCUUUUUAUAUUGAAGGCUACAUUUAGAUUGUAUUAACAUUUGAAUUUAAAAUACUUCCCAUCUUCUAUUAAUAUUUAAAAUUUAUAAAUUAAACUAAAGAUAGCAACUAAAAAAUCAAAUUAGAGUUAAGAUACUAAUCUUAUUUGUUGCAACCACUUUGAUCAGAAUCUAUCAAAUAGAAGGAUAAUGCAUAUCUAUAACAUUAUCCCCUUCUUGGAGAAAAAGCUUAUCCUCAAGCUUGUUUUCAGUCAUCUGGUUCAACAAUAGGAGAUCCUAGAUCCUUCAACUCCAUCCAAAAUAAUUUUUGCACUGAUGGUUAAAAGUACAUGUUUCAUCACAGUUGUAGCAAAGGCCUUUAGCUCAAUGUUCAGCCAUUUCUAUCCUGCUAAGUCUUUUCACAAAUGGAGUUGAGGUGCUUCCAACACUUGAAGAUGCUACAUUAUUAUUUUCCUUAGACUCUUCAGUUAAAUUGCUAGUAGACGGUGCAAACCCUUAAAAUGACACGUAAGCUAUCAUCAUCCGACCCAAUUGUUGUUUCUUCUCAAAUAUUCGAGCAAAAUUCAUUGUCGUAACUAAAUUGGGAGGGUUUUCUAGUUCCACCUUAAGCCGAAUAGUCUCAGACAAUCCUGUAGUAAAAAGUUGGUUUCAACAGUUGAUAAUCUACUGAUCCAACUUGCUUCAAAUUCACCAACUUCCCUAAGAGAUUGCUACGUGGAGGACCAAAUCGCAAGUUGUAGUUCUCCUUGAACUCUUGCUAUGUCAUUCCAGGUUCUUCCUAUUCAAGUCUGUAAAAUCAAAAUUGAGCCUCACCAGCAAGAUGGAAGGCAGCUAGACUGACUUUAUCUGCUUCCACUAUUUGUUGAUUUUGAAAAAAUUGUUCACAGCGAUUAAGCUAUCCAAGUGGGUCAUUGGAGCCAUCAAAUGAGGGAAAAUAAAGUUUUGUAUAUCUAGGCACUAUGCACCCUUAAGAACGAUCAUUAUUUGGUUGGACAAAAUUUUGUUGACCGCUACUCAAACUCUUGGUUUUGGUUUGCUCCUAUAUUGAAGGUGUGGAUGAGCUCCGAAACUUAAUGAGCCAAGUCGUUGAAUCGAGCAUUUUGUUGUAUGAAAGAGUUCAACUUCUCUUUCAGAUUUGUUGAAUCGCCCAUGAUGACCGGCUCUGAUGCCAAAUUGUUAUGCGCCCUUAAAUAGGAUCUCAUCACAGGUCGAUUAACUGAAAAAUCCUCCUCUCGCCAGACCGAUUUUCCCUUGUUCAUGUUUGUACUUUUCUUUGAGGAACCUAGUGUGAAAUAAAUUGAGAACUCGUUUAGGAGAAUUUUUGAAUCUCAUAAACUGAUGAAUAAUAUUUUCUGAAUGUCUUAUUCAAUGAUCUUAAGUGCCUUUUUACAGUGAAGGUUACAUUUAAAUUGCAUCAACAUUUGAAUUUAAAAUACUUCCUAUUUUCUAUUAAAAUUUAAAAUUUAAAAAUUAAACUAAAGAUAGCAACUAAAAAAUCAAAUUAGAGUUAAGUUACUGAUCUUAUUUGUUGCAACCACUUUGAUCAGAAUCUAUCAAAUAGAAGGAUAAUGCAUUUCCAUAACAGUUAACAGCGGGGGUAGCAAAUGAGGGUUCAUCCACAAUGGUUUUACCUCUUGCAAUGGUAGUCGACAGUUCUUCAAUAGAUGCUAAUUUUGAGUGGAGUUGCUCAUUUUCUAACCGGAGUUUGGUCAAACUAUAGUCUAUAAGUGCCAAAUUCUUCACCAUUUUCACCCUAUUCUUCAUUCAAGUUUGAGUCAUUCAAGUUGUAGGGCAGGACCAAUGUGGUGGAGUAAAGAAUUUAAAUGAGAAGAGAGAAGGAAAAACUCAGUAAAGAAAGCCACUAAUGGCCAAUUUCAUUCAACUCAAAACAAAAGCUACUAACAGCUGAUUACAAUGGACAGGUUCCCCCAAGCAAUAAGCUGGAAAAUUCUCAAUAACAGAAUAUGAUGAAUCCCAUCACUGACCUUUCUCUAUCUAUAUUAAGGCCCUCACAUGUUACUCGUGCAACUCCUGUAACUGUUUCAUCUCCACAUUAGCCUUAUUCUGAUUCUUUUGCCUUUUAGAAUAUACCCUCCAUAUUCGCUUGCUGGGUCCUGCAUUUGAAGUUUGGUCCAUUGUCUUAUCAGAAACUUAUAUAAUAUUGUGUUUAGGGCACUGAAAAAAUAAAACAUGGUUAUUUUGUAUUGUUUGCCAUGCCGAGAAUGCAAUGUAUUACACUAAACAAUUACUAAUACAUGUAGAAGGUGGUGUAGUUUUGUAAAAGAAAAAUAGAAAGAAAAAAAAAGGUUGAAACCUGGUUGACCUUUGUGAUCUGUGAUAAGGAUUUAUGGGUUUUGUAAUUUCCUUUUUUCAAGGGUAACUUGGAGUUUGCCAUAGGCCUGGUUCCCCACGCUGGUCCAAAUUUCAUAACUAUGUUUUAUGAGUUCAGCAGCUUAGAUUGAGUGAUGUCUGAUUACUUCUCGGUUUGGAAGAUAAUCAUAAACACAUUUUCAUUUUCUUGUGGCCUGUUGUUCUUUGAGGUUUUUUAUGCACGUCUUAACACCAUUAAACAAUAGGUCUAUUUGUUUGACUGAUUGAGAGUAAACAGUAACCCAUAUGAAUAGAUGCUACAUAUGAUCAACCUAUUAUCCAUUGAGUGUGACUCAAAUUUUG
rnacentral:lncRNA from 1 species